CGUUGUAGCACAGACUCAGAGACGGCGAAGAAAAGCGAAAAGCGUGACAGCUCAGUGGUUCCUGUCCAGGCUGAACUCAAAAUAGAAAUUCGAAAAGGAAAUCGGUUUAAUUAAAUCGAAUUUAAUUGAAAAUACCUCGUAGUAAAAUCGAGUUAUUGUCCGACGCGCUUUCCCAUUCCAUUUCGGUCCGGCGGAGAAGGCUUAAUUGAUAAUUGCCAUUGAGGAGAGCCCAGUGCGAACAUAAACACGCCGAAGAAGGAAAAAAAUUCGUUCGAGUGAAAUAGAAAUUGAAAUUGAUUUGACAAAACUUCAUUUGUUGCGCCAUUCUCAUUCCCCCUGGAGUGCCCGACAAUGUGCAACCUCAAGACUCUUAACCUUAACAAUUACCAUUUGGCCACAAAAGCUAUUGGCACAAUUCAGUUCGAUCCAAGUGCCUGCCCCCAUACUCACUUUUACUCCGACAAAAAUCAAAAAUCAAACAAAUAAAAAAAAAAAUCUAUUCGAAAACGAAAGCAAAACAAAAGUUUGAUUGAAGCGCCAACCGUCCCCCUACCCAAACACCUUGCUAAACUCGAGCGGCAGCCCCCACAACCGGUCCCCAGAAGACUACAAAAUAGUUGAGAAAACAGGUAAGUGUGUGCCCGUGGAGGUGGAUGUGGAUGGUGGAGAGUGCAGAUUGGAGGCUGGACAGACCAUGUGCGAAGGUUAUUCGAAUUUUUGGCUCAGGCGAAGGCGGAGAGUGUGCAAAAUCGCUUUGUUUUUGGAGCAAAUCUCAAUGAAAAUAUUUGAAAAAUAUUGAAAAUGGUGAAAGCUCUCUUGGGCCGAAAAACACCCACGGUUCUAUCACACAAGUGAGAUGUAUGUCCGCCUAUGGGCGAUGCUCGAGGGACUAUAAUCAUUUUAUUGGCAUUUGCACAUUUUAAAUCAAUUUUGAUCAUGAAAUCAAACAAGUUUCAAGCAAAUCAUUGCAAAAUUUCCAUUAUUAAUUAGCAACACAUUUUAGAACAGAUUAGAAGAGUGUGACAUGAAUUUAGAACCACUUUUAGCUAAUUUGUGGUAACAUUUAGCACAAUUUAAAUCUGAAUUGAGAUAUGGGACAGUUUGAAUUAAAUUUGUUUGAAUUUUUCUAAUAUAAUUAGAGCUUGAUCAAUAAGUUGUAUAACUGAGCAACAAAUUUAAUUGAAAACCAUAUCAAAUUGGUUUCAUUCAAAGCUGUAACCUCCUUUUACUGCCGUUUUAGUUUUCACUUUCUAAACAUACUCUCUUAAUCGCCUCCGCUAUUAAUCAUCUUUAAUAAGAAACUUCAAAGACCCUUUGAUAAAUCAUCUUUUUGGUGGUCCAUUCAAUCGAAGUGAGGCGGCGGCCUGGGCUGCUGUCUCCGCCCAUUAUCGAUACCGAUUACGACAUGAUUGCCAGACGAUAAUUUUCACAACGAAGCAUGACAAAGACAGCAAAUUAGCCCCGAAGCUAUUUGUAUGCCCUUUGCAGAGGGUAUAAUGAUUCGGACUACAAGGAAGACUCCAAGGAAUACUGAGAAGUAUCAGAGAGAAUGGUAUUUGUAAGCAGCGGGCUACUGGAAGAGUAUUCAAAAUCCUUCCUUUACCUAGUGCUUUGUACAGCUUUAGUUUUUGUGAUGCUUGGAUGUGGCUUCCGUGGCAAGUCUGUAACUGAAAGUUCGCAUGACAGCAAAAGCCCCAAAAGAAAGAAAGAGGUGGCCGGCGGGAGAAAGAGCGGACAUUGAUAGGUAAACAACAGCAGACGCUUCGUUUCAGUAAUUUAAACAAUGACGAUCAUGAUCGUGAUGAUGACUUCCUCAACGAAAGAAAUAAAACUACUUGCGAGAGUGAAUGAAAUAGGAAUAAAAUGUACGAUGGAAUUAAUCAGUUUGGGGCCCGAAUCUUCAGAUACUCUACCUAAAAUGCCUUUGGGACAUCAGCUAAGGCGUUUUAAACUUCAGGUCAAAGUGGUUAUAGCCCCUGAGAGGGUACGCGAAAGUCAAAGAAACCAAUUAAGAGCCCCAAAAGGGUAACUAAUGUGUUUUUCUCUUACGGAUCCACCCUAUUUGUGCAGCCCCAACAAGCAAUUAAUAAAGAUCUUAAUUGCAUUUGUUGUGUGCGUAUUUUAAGCGUUUCGAUCUCUGGCGUCAUGUCCGACGCCCGACAAGCGAUACCAAACACCGCUCGAAUUGAUAAAAAUUGAAAAUAUUUGCCCAGAGCUGAAAAUCGAAUUCGUUUUCAGAGCAAGCACCACCAUAAUUGAAAUUCUUGGUUCCAGCUAAUUAACGUCACACUGCAUUGUAGGUGUUUGGACAAUUGUUUAAACACAAAGUUCAAUAUUUGGUUUAAAUAUCAAAUAUUGUCAGUGCCUGCUGGAUAAGUGCGAUACGGUAACAGUUUAAGGGCGAAAGGAAUGGUAGGGGCCGUCUUGGGGUAUGGUAUGUGCGUGAGAAUUGUGACGCUCAAUGGCGCUGGGAGUUCUAUCGCAAAAACGUGUUAAUAAUUUCUUCCCCUCGGAGCUUAAUGUCUUUCCCGCCUCGUAAUUCAAUGCGUUGUCAUCUUUGGCCAACAUCGCUGGAAAUUAUACAUGUUCAGGCUGACAGACGAUGGAGAGAUUCCGCUCCACCUGAUGCUAGUUUCUGCUGUGUUUUUAUGGAGAGUCGGAUUCGUAGAUAUUAAAUUGCAGUAAUAAUCGUGAGCCAAGUUGACAUGACAUCACGGUGAAAUUGUUUUUGCGUUGAGUUGAUGGCAUUCGAAACAGUAGCACAAAAAAAUACUGGGGACUCAGGAAACGUGUGUGUCCAUAUGCCAUAGAAAAACUGUAGACAUGUGGCACAGUUGAUGCAGCGCAGUUCUCAAUGGAAGAUCAACUUGUCUGUUAAUCGGAUAGAUUAUAAUUAAGCUAAUAAGCUGCCACUGGGGGGCACCAGCGCCAGCUCCAGCUCCACCGAAGAUAUUCGUUCGUUUUUUCUCAUGGAAAGUUUUUGCAGUUGCGUCGUAGUUUAGAAUUUAGAAGCUGAAAUUGACAGAUCAGGGCAUUUGUUGUGCAUAUUAAUGAUAGUCUCUAGCGGAAAUAUUUUUGAAAUGGAGAUGAGCUUAGGAAGCAGUAUGCUUCCCAAGGGAUAAUGACAAGCACAAUAUUCUCUCAGGCAGUUCCUAGAAAAACCUUUUGUUUUGGGUAAGCAGGGAAUCCGUUGCCAUUAGUUCUUUAGCGGUUCCCUAAGCAUGUCUCGCCUCAUCUUAAAAGGAAAGUCCCUCAAAUAACAGAUUUCCCUUAUGGUUCUACACAAAUUAUACAAAUUAAAUGGCUAAGUCAAAAACCACAGACAUCAAUAAAUUUUCCACUGAUUUAUGGGAAUUGUUCGCGAGCCAAUCGGUCAAACGGCCAUAAAGAUAUUUGCCCAAGUACUGGACCCACUCCUCCCUCGCAACAAGCAAAAACUGAAUAGUCCCUGCCCCAGACCCAGACCCAUAUCCAUAGCUCCGACCCGGUAAGCGUCGGCAUGUGACUAAUUAAUUUAUUGCAAUUAAUUAAUGGUCAGCGAACAGGUUUCGAUCUUUCUCUCUACUAGCCCAUUGGAACGCAAAGUAUUGUUAAUAAAAUCAUCACCUUAGUCGACAAAAGUGGCGCCCAAGGGUUGCGCAAACCCAAAUGAAUAAUCCGAUUAAAUUGAUUAAUUAUUAUAGACGAUACGAUACGAUAUACGGAAU